rnacentral:ncRNA from 1 species
AAAAGACUUAGUCCUAACCUUACAGUUAGUUCUUGCUAGAUAUAUACAUGCAAGUAUCCGCAUCCCAGUGUAAAUGCCCUUAAUUUCUUACAACAGAUAACAGGAGUCGGUAUCAGGCACGCACACCGCAGCCCAAAACACCUUGCCCAGCCACACCCCCACGGGAUUUCAGCAGUAAUUAACAUUAAGCAAUGAGUGUAAACUUGACUUAGCCAUAGCAACAACUUAGGGUUGGUAAAUCUUGUGCCAGCCACCGCGGUCAUACAAGAAACCCAAACUAACUCUACACGGCGUAAAGAGUGGCCUUUUAUUAUCAACCCAACUAAGAUUAAAAUGCCACUAGGCCGUUAUAAGCAUAAGAGGCAUCUAACAUUCACUUCUAAAACGAUCUUAGUCGUACGACAAAUCAAUCUCCACGAAAGCCAGGACACAAACUGGGAUUAGAUACCCCACUAUGCCUAGCCCUAAAUCUUGAUGUUUAUUUACCAAAACAUCCGCCUGAGUACUACGAGCACAAACGCUUAAAACUCUAAGGACUUGGCGGUGCUCCAAACCCUCCUAGAGGAGCCUGUUCUAUAAUCGAUAACCCACGUUACACCCGACCACCUCUUGCCACAACAGCCUAUAUACCGCCGUCCCCAGCUCACCCUCAAAUUGAAGGUCCAAAAGUGAGCACAAUAGCCUUACCCGCUAGAAAGACAGGUCGAGGUAUAGCUCAUGAGAUGGAAGAAAUGGGCUACAUUUUCUAUCAUAGAAAACCACACGACAAGGGAUGUGAAACCACCCCUAAAAGGCGGAUUUAGCAGUAAAGCAGGACUAUAAUGCCUCCUUUAAACCGGCCCUGGAGCACGUACAUACCGCCCGUCACCCUCCUCAUAAGCAGCCACCAAACAUAAACACAACCUAUUAUACAAUUAAGCCAAAGAUGAGGUAAGUCGUAACAAGGUAAGUGUACCGGAAGGUGCACUUAGACUACC